AUCCGAGGUGAUUCCCUCUUCCAAGGGUCCUACUAAUGCCCCUCUUCAGGAAAUUAGCAACUUGGAAUAAAAUCUGGCACGCCUCAGGUUUCUGAGGAAAGGGGUAUUUAUUUCCUUUGCCUUCCUUUGGCUGCCUAUAUGU
ensembl:snoRNA